rnacentral:lncRNA from 1 species
CAAACAUUGGAUGGAGGUCAGGGAGUCUUAUGGAGAGUUUGGGGAAGUAUUAAGGACUCCAAAGGGAUGGAAACUGCAUAGAAAGGCCAAUAGAAUCAACAAUCCUGGACCCUUUGAGGAUCUCAAGACUGAACCACCAACUAAAGAGUGUACAUGGACUGGACCUAUGUUACUAGCACAUACAUAGCAGAUAUACAGCUUUGUCUUCAUUUGGUCCCCCAAUAAAGCUGUUGCUUGUCCAUGGAAUGUUACCUUAAACAGGCUGCCUUAGCCCUGCAGAGAAUUGAUGUGCCAGAGUAAGGGGAUACACAAGGAACUCCUGAAUCUUCUCAGGUGUGAAGGGAAGGGGGCCAUAGGUGAGUAACUAUGUGGGGGGGGAGGAGGGAGGCAGGGAUUGGAAUGUAAAGUAAGUAGAAACAAUUAUCUAUUGAAUUUUUUAAAAGGAUAAUAUUUGAAAAAAGUCAAGAGUAGUGAUAACUCUGUAUUGUAAGUAUGCUCAUGUGUAUGUUUCCAAAUGAAAUUUAGAAUUAUAUUUUUCAAUUUCUUUGUAGUAUUGUGUUGAAGUUUUGGUGAGCAUUCAUAUUUAUGAAUUGCUUUGUGUAAAAGAGUUAUAUUCACAAUAUUAAUUCUACAAAUCUGUGAGUCCAGAGGAUCUUAAAUUUUCUUCAGUUUAUGUUUUAAUAUUUUUUAAUAAAAGAUAUUUUAUACAA